CACAUUUUUUUACAGAUGAAGAAACUGAGGCCAAGAAGAGUUAAGUGACUUUUCUUGUGAUGAGGUUACACAGUUUAAUUGAUGAAUUGCCAGGUCACCCAUUCUAAUGACGAGCUGCUUCCCCAACAGCGGCUUAGAGAUUCCAUCUCCUGUCCUCACGGGUUGUUGCAUGUUCCGUCAUCAUGGGCGACAUCAAUGUUUAAAGGGCAGAGCUCAAUCUGAGAAGGGUGGUCAUCACACAGCCUUGCCAAAGGGAUUAGUUCCCCGUGCCGAUAGGAUAUGAGCUCAGGCCAAAGUCAACCCCAGCGAGCUUUGGCUGCAGCUGCAGCUGGACACCACACAACCCAAGAGGAAGACCUACCUGUGGAACUGAAGCUUUUGCUUUUCUCUCCGGGUGUUUGCGUUUCCCCAUGUGUGCCCCUCCCCUCCCCACCCCCCGAAUCAGGCUGGGAGGUACUUUGGUUGCUGUUGGCCUGGCCUCUGGAAGGGGAAGGGGAGAGGAUCUGAUCUUGGCCCUCCCACUAACCUGCUGUGUGGCCUUGGGCCACAGGGUUCUUCUCCGUAAAAGGAAGGGGUCAGACUGAUUUCAAGGGCGGGGGUCCAGUGUCCAUUUCAGGGGGUCACUGCUUUGAUUUGAGAAACUCCUGAUUGGAUCUUUUAUUCCUUUUUAUCCCAAGGAAGAUUACUGAUGAGUUUAUCAAUGAAAUGUGAGAAAGGACGGACAGGUCAAGAGCUCUCCUGGCCCCAGCUCUCCUCUUUGCCUACUGUGUGUCACAAAGAUGUUUUCCAUGCCUAGCCCUUGUUCUCAGCCACUGUGCGCUCCUGUGGUGGUUCUGAUUAGCGCUGAGCCAUGCCAGGGUAGGCCGAAGGAGGGCAGUGUAGAUGAGGGUAGGCAGAGGGUCCUCUCCCAUCACUAGUUGGAAAAAACUCUGGACUCUGGGUCAGUGCAGUGACUGUAGGCCAGUCGUUCACUCUUCGUGUCCCUCAAUUUCCCCAGCUCCAAAAUUAUUCAGAAGUAUUUGCUUUUCAUGUUGUACCUUGUGGCCCAGGGACCUCCAGAAAACAGACUUGACUAGCAGCAUUACCUUGAUCUAGUCACUUAACUCUCUGUGCCUGUUUCCUCAUCUAUAUAAUAUCAUGGCCUGGGGCCCAUGGGCCUCUAGAAGAGACUCUGGGCUCUCAUGGACCGGGUGCCGUCUAUGGAACUUCAGCCCAACUGGUUAUUUUUCUUCCUUCAUCUCAUCAAACCCACGUGGAUCAUUCUAAGGAAAUCUCUAAGCCGGAUCAAUGAGAAGUCAGUUUGGUGCUGUGGCUGGCUUCCCUGUACCCCACUGCGCAUCGCAGCCACUGCAGGCCAUGGGAACUGUGUGGAUUUCCUGAUUCAGAAGGGGGCUGAGAUUGACCUUGUGGACGUGAAGGGACAGACUGCCCUGUAUGUGGCAGUGGUGAAUGGGCAUCUGGAAUGUGCCCAGAUCCUCCUGGAAGCUGGAGCCGACCCCAAUGGCAGCCGACAUCACCGCAGCACCCCGGUGUACCAUGCCUCCCGGGUGGGGAGAGCUGACAUUCUGAAGGAGCUGAUCAGGUAUGGGGCAGAUGUGGACGUCAACCACUCCCUGGCUCCUGGAAUGCCUCCCCCUUCUUCCCGACGCCUCACUUCCCUGGUGGUCUGCCCGUUGUACAUCAGUGCAGCCUACCACAACCUGCAAUGCUUCAAGCUGCUUCUUCAAGCUGGAGCCAACCCUGAUUUCAACUGCCACGGCCCUGUCAACGUCCAGGGCUUCUGCAGGGGGUCCCCUGUCUGUGUAAUGGAUGCCGUUUUGCGUCAUGGCUGUGAGGCUGCGUUUGUCAGCCUGCUGGUCGACUUUGGUGCCAACCUGAAUCUGGUGAAGUGGGAAACCUUGAAUGCUGAGUCAAGAGGCAGAGUGAAAGUGAACCCAGAAGCUUUGCAGGUUUUCAAAGAAGCCAGGAGUGCCCCCAGGACCUUGCUAUGCUUGUGCCGGGUGUCCGUGAGGAGGGCUCUCGGCAAGUGUCGGCUCUACCUUAUACCCUCUCUCCCCCUCCCUGAUGCCAUCAAGCAGUUUUUACUUUAUGAGCAGAGUUAAAACGCAGACGCGAUUGUGGGGAUGCUUCUCAAGGAUGAAAGCAGGUGACCUGAGAACCAAAUUGGUGUCUGUUCAUUGCUCUCCAUCUCACACCCCGAACUGUUGAGAAGUAUUCCAAGGAGCUGCUGGUAAAGAGGUAGCCUCGAUCAGGAAACUGAGGCUUGGAGAGGCUGAGAACUCGCUGAAGAUCACGCAGCUAGUCAGGGUCAGAGGAGGCUUGAAUGCAGGACUCUGGUUUCCAAGUCCAGCCUUUGAUCGACUAUGAGAGACGUGCUGCCACAACCAGCUUCUGUAGAAGUAAAUAAAUAGCUAAGAAAAGUGUAGACUGCCCAUUCAACGUGAUUUUUCUCCAGUGGAUCUCACCUAACACAUGUGGGUGCCCAGUAUGGGAACUCUUCCUUUUCUCAUCUUCUGAUGGGGCUCAAGUCUCACAGACAGGCAGCUGGUGAUAGAGGUCUCUGAUGCUGCUCCCCUUCUGUUAGACCCAGGCUCUGUCCUAUGGCACAGUGAUCUCUCCUGGGAAUGUGGCCCAAAAACUUUGGCAUGAGCAGGAGGGCCUCUGUCUCUGCAGGUGAUGGGAUGAGGGCGAUUGCAGGAUCCUCCAUGUGGAGCUGGAGGGAGCUCAGAGGCCACCUAACCCAACCCCCUCACUUUUCAGAGGGAGCCUGAGCUCUGCUCAUUAAUCUCCCACACCAGUACUGAUAAGUUGCUUUGGGCAUCAGUAGUACACAGGUAUCCCAGACUGGCCCAAGAGAUGCUUUUUAGUGGGACCCUGGCUGCCACCAGGGUCUUAGGCCAAGCUGGAAAGUUUGGAAAGCUUCUGAACUCCGCACAGAGCUAAGGUGGGGCAUGCAGCCAGCCCCUGAUCCAGGACUGCCAAAAUUUAGAGUGUGCCAGGGACAUUUGAGUUCCUUGAGGAGGUAGAAACCCCUGAGCUUGGGUUCCACUUAGCAAGAAUAACGAAGCUAGCAAGCUUCCCAGAGUGGCUUUCCUCCUCCUGGCUGCCAGGAUUGUUUGUGCUCUGCUCUAUUCACUCACUCUGCUUUCCCCCUAGAUUUCUGGUAUACUGGGGUCUCUCUCCACCCAGCACCUCAGUUCCUCUGACUGAGGCCACCAUGUAGGGUCUCUGCUUCCACUACUGGGUUUAAAAAAAAUAUUGACUGGGGAUCUGUUAGCCCUGGGCCCAGCUAUUCCAGUCCUUGUCCAGUAAUGGAGCCAUGACUUUGCCCCUGUCCCCACCUCUCCUCCAAUGCCCAGCCCCUGAUGUUACCUUCUGGUCUCCUCCAUAUUUGCACUUCCAUUAACCUUUCCUGAUCUCCUCUGACCUUCAUCUAAGCUCCUAAUGAGAGAGGGCAGCUGCCUAAUUCAGAUACCUCAAUCCAAUCCAAUUCAAUGAGCAUCUCUUAAGUACCUACUAUGUGUCAAUUACUGUGCUAAGUUCUUGGAACACUGAGGAAAAAAAUCAACCAUCCCUAACCUCAAAAGCAGGGAUUGUUAAAAGAUUAUUUGAUUCUUUUGGAGGGGAGGUGGGAUGAAGGAUGCUUUACAGAGAGGGGCAAGUGAGCUGAGGCCUGAAGGAAGUCAAAGACUGAGAGGCACAAGUCAAUGAACAAGCAUUUGUUAAGCACCUACUAUGUGCCAUGGUGCUGGGCCACUGACAGAAAUGCCUCAGUACCUGGCUCAAAGAACUUCUAUUCUACUGGGGAAAUGCUUCAUGUCCACAGCUAAGUUAAGUACAAGAUAAGUGCCAAAAAUGUAGAGAUGGAAAAUUGUAUGACCUUCUCCUGGAAGCUGGUUGUCCUGGGGUCUAGUUUGACUCAGGACACCUUAAAUGAGGAAUUCUGGGAAGCUAGGUUUCUUCUGUGUAUGGCUUCUUAUUGCCUUAAAAUAAAUUUGCUGCCUCUCUGCCAUGUAUAAGCCCCUUCCUUUCUGUUAAGGAUCUGAUCUGAGAGAAACUUAAGGGUGUGGCUUGUCUGAGGAAGACUGUGGGUGCCCUGAUUUCAGGAAUGUGCACUUAAAUACAUCUUCAUCGUAUAUCGUAGUAGUUUGUUAUAACAAUUAUUGCCUCUGUCUGAACGCAUACUCCAUUCUCUCCUAUUUACACAGCCCUCGAGUGCUGGGUCUGACAUGUUUCCUGAUGAUUGUUGAGCUCUGGGUAAAUGAUGUGAUCCCAGAACAAGAUAUUGGCUAGAAGGAAUGGCCCUUGGGUCAACAUUUUCCCCCCAAUCUGCUGAUGAGCCUGUUUCCUGGCCCUUCACGCUCACUAUUUCUUGCAUCCAUUUCAGAAGGGCAAGACUCACUGUCCUGCGUGUUAAUGUGCUGUCACCUCAAUAAAGGUUGUGUUUCCCUGA